rnacentral:rRNA from 1 species
UACGUAGGGGGCAAGCGUUGUCCGGAAUCAUUGGGCGUAAAGAGCGUGUAGGCGGCUCGGUAAGUCCGCUGUGAAAGCCCGGGGCUCAACCCCGGGAGGCGGGCGGAUACUGUCGGGCUAGGGUCCGGAAGAGGCGAGUGGAAUUCCUGGUGUAGCGGUGAAAUGCGCAGAUAUCAGGAGGAACACCAAUGGCGAAGGCAGCUCGCUGGGACGGUACUGACGCUGAGACGCGAAAGCGUGGGGAGCAAACAGG